CAGCAGUCGCCGCGGGAAUACGAAGGGUGCAAGCGUUAAUCGGAAUUACUGGGCGUAAAGCGUGCGUAGGCGGUUUGUUAAGUCUGCUGUGAAAUCCCCGGGCUCAACCUGGGAAUGGCAGUGGAUACUGGCAAGCUAGAGUGUGUCAGAGGAUGGUGGAAUUCCCGGUGUAGCGGUGAAAUGCGUAGAGAUCGGGAGGAACAUCAGUGGCGAAGGCGGCCAUCUGGGACAACACUGACGCUGAGGCACGAAAGCGUGGGGAGCAAACAGGAUUAGAUACCCCCGUAGUCCCUGUCUCUUAUAC
rnacentral:rRNA from 1 species